rnacentral:rRNA from 1 species
UACGAAGGGGGCUAGCGUUGCUCGGAAUCACUGGGCGUAAAGGGCGCGUAGGCGGACUCUUAAGUCGGGGGUGAAAGCCCAGGGCUCAACCCUGGAAUUGCCUUCGAUACUGAGAGUCUUGAGUUCGGAAGAGGUUGGUGGAACUGCGAGUGUAGAGGUGAAAUUCGUAGAUAUUCGCAAGAACACCAGUGGCGAAGGCGGCCAACUGGUCCGAUACUGACGCUGAGG